AACGAACGCUGGCGGCAUGCCUAACACAUGCAAGUCGAACGAGACCUUCGGGUCUAGUGGCGCACGGGUGCGUAACGCGUGGGAACCUGCCCUUAGGUUCGGAAUAACUCCCCGAAAGGGGUGCUAAUACCGGAUAAUGUCUUCGGACCAAGGAUUUAUCGGCUUUGGAUGGGCCCGCGUUGGAUUAGCUAGUUGGUAGGGUAAAAGCCUACAAAGGCGACGAUCCAUAGCUGGUCGGAGAGGAUGAUCAGCCACACUGGGACUGGGACACGGCCCAGACUCCUACGGGAGGCAGGAGUGGGGAAUAUUGGACAAUGGGCGAGAGCCUGAUCCAGCAAUGCCGCGUGAGUGAUGAAGGCCUUAGGGUUGUAAAGCUCUAUUACCCGGGAUGAUAAUGACAGUACCGGGAGAAUAAGCUCCGGCUAACUCCGUG
rnacentral:rRNA from 1 species